AUUCCAGCUCCAAUAGCGUAUAUUAAAAUUGUUGCGGUUAAAACGCUCGUAGUUGGAUAUUUGUUGAGAACUGCCGGUCUACCCCAGUGGUCAGCACACGGUUUGUUCUCGGCACUUUCCUGGGGAGAGUGUUUGCACUUCACUGUGUGGCACAUGAUCCAGAACUUUUACUUUGAGGAAAUGAGAGUGUUUCAAGCAGGCGCCUGUCGUGAAUGCGUUAGCAUGGAAUAAUAGCAUGGGACCGCGGUCUGAAGCUGUUGGUUUUUGGGCCGUGGUAAUAAAAAUAGGGAUAGUUGGGGGUAUUCGUAUUUAACUGUCAGAGGUGAAAUUCUUGGAUUUUUUAAAGACGGACUACUGCGAAAGCAUCUGCCCAGGAUGUUUUCAUCA
rnacentral:rRNA from 1 species